UUUUUUUUUCGUUUUUUC
rnacentral:sRNA from 1 species